AAUCAACUAGAUCUGAGGAUACAUUCCAAGUCAUGGAGUAAAAUAGGGUCUACAACAAUCUUGAUGAAAACCUCAGCAUCAUGAGAAGCUACAAAUUGAUGUUUCACUGAUUCCUACCACAUACAUUGGGUUCCGCCCACACUUCAAGGAGAGGAGAUUUCAUAAGGAUGUGAGUUUUCAGGGAUCACUUUUAGAAUUCUGCUCAGCACAGAUAAGUUCUGCUAUUGUGGCCACUCUUCAGGACUCACUCUCUGGAGAGCACAUAUAGCAAGGAAGUAAUACCUCUGGCCAACAAUCCAUGAGAACCUAACACCUGACAAGAGCCACAUGAGUGAGCUUGUGAGAGUAUCCUGCUCCAGUUAAACACUGAGAUGACUGAAGUCCUGGCUGACAGUGGGAUUGGAGCCAUGAGAGACACCAAGACAUUCACCCCGUUAGCUGUAUCUGGAUUCCUGACCUAUGGAAACUAGAGACACAGAGAGAGAAGCAGAGACACAGGCAGAGGGAGGAGCAGCCUCCAUGCAGAGAGCCCCACAUGGGAAUCGAUCCCUGACCUCCAGGAUCAUGCCCUGGUCUGAAGGUGGCACUAAAACCGCUGAGUCACCAGGGGCUGCCCUGUCCCUAUCUUCCUACUAUCAGCCAUCAGCUCUUGGAGAGAGGGGAAAAACCAACAAAAGGGACAAAAUCAAGAGUGGUAGAUGGCCUUACGAACUGGCCUUGAAGACAUAAUCACACUUCAGAAAGGGGACACAUCACCAAGGCCAGAAGCUUUCAAGGAACCCAGACAAGGGACACACAGGUAAUGGGAGUAAAGAGGCAAGACAGAGAAUACUCAUUAAAUAAUAAAAGAACUAAUCUUCCUGAGUCACAAGUCAUAGGUAACAGUUGGAUGGGUACUUGAUGG